rnacentral:rRNA from 1 species
CUACGGGGGGCUGCAGUGGGGAAUAUUGCACAAUGGGCGCAAGCCUGAUGCAGCCAUGCCGCGUGUAUGAAGAAGGCCUUCGGGUUGUAAAGUACUUUCAGCGGGGAGGAAGGGAGUAAAGUUAAUACCUUUGCUCAUUGACGUUACCCGCAGAAGAAGCACCGGCUAACUCCGUGCCAGCAGCCGCGGUAAUACGGAGGGUGCAAGCGUUAAUCGGAAUUACCGGGCGUAAAGCGCACGCAGGCGGUUUGUUAAGUCAGACGUGAAAUCCCCGGGCUCAACCUGGGAACUGCAUCUGAUACUGGCAAGCUUGAGUCUCGUAGAGGGGGGUAGAAUUCCAGGUGUAGCGGUGAUAUGCGUAGAGAUCUGGAGGAAUACCGGUGGCGAAGGCGGCCCCCUGGACGAAGACUGACGCUCAGGUGCGAAAGCGUGGGGAGCAAACAGGAUUAGAUACCCGGGUAGUC